rnacentral:rRNA from 1 species
UACGUAGGGGGCAAGCGUUGUCCGGAUUUAUUGGGCGUAAAGAGCGUGUAGGCGGCCAGACAGGUCAGCUGUGAAAACUCGAGGCUCAACCUCGAGACGUCGGUUGAAACCGUCUGGCUAGAGUCCGGAAGAGGAGAGUGGAAUUCACGGUGUAGCAGUGAAAUGCGUAGAUAUCGUGAGGAAGACCAGUGGCGAAGGCGGAUCUCUGGACAGUUCCUGACGCUGAGGCGCGAAGGCCAGGGGAGCAAACGGG